rnacentral:rRNA from 3 species
UCCUCCAAGGCUAAAUACUCCUGACUGACCGAUAGUGAACCAGUACCGUGAGGGAAAGGCGAAAAGAACCCCGGCGAGGGGAGUGAAAAAGAACCUGAAACCGUGUACGUACAAGCAGUGGGAGCACCCUUUGGGGUGUGACUGCGUACCUUUUGUAUAAUGGGUCAGCGACUUAUAUUCUGUAGCAAGGUUAACCGAAUAGGGGAGCCGGAGGGAAACCGAGUCUUAAUUGGGCGUUAAGUUGCAGGGUAUAGACCCGAAA